UACGAAGGGGGCUAGCGUUGCUCGGAAUUACUGGGCGUAAAGCGCACGUAGGCGGUCUUUUAAGUCGGGGGUGAAAUCCUGGAGCUCAACUCCAGAACUGCCUUCGAUACUGGAAAGCUCGAGUCCGGGAGAGGUGAGUGGAACUGCGAGUGUAGAGGUGAAAUUCGUAGAUAUUCGCAAGAACACCAGUGGCGAAGGCGGCUCACUGGCCCGGUACUGACGCUGAGGUGCGAAAGCGUGGGGAGCAAACAGG
rnacentral:rRNA from 1 species